AAGUCGUAACAAGGUUUCCGUAGGUGAACCUGCGGAAGGAUCAUUAACACGUAUCCAACGUUAAACAACCCUGUGAACUUUCAGACGCUCUUGUAGCCCAGGAGUAGCUCGAUUGUAACUUGAUACCUUUUGGACAGAGGUCCCGAAUCAAAACUUUUCCGCCAUUGAUUUACCGGGAUUGCUGUUCCAGGAGCAGUGGCAUGGUUUCCCUAAGCAGUGCAGAAGGAUCCACUGAGUAAGGAUAACGCAUCACGGUUGCCAGAGGUCGAUCACCGGCCGGCAGACAUGUCACAGGGCUUUACGCCCCUUCAUUCACCCCUUGCCUAAUCAAGCCCCGCGGAAACGCCGGGCAAAAAAAUCUGAACAACUGUUAACAAUGGAUAUCUUGGUUCUC
rnacentral:misc_RNA from 1 species